GGCUAAAGAAGAAAAACGUGACAUCACAGCUAACAGCAUUAGCACCCCACAGAAUUCAACGUGUUUGGAGAGACGUGUGGUGCGCAGGAACAAACAUAUACAACAAUGUGCUGCACUCAGGAGAGGACAACAGUUUGCUUGAGCUGUCAAACAUGUUGGAUAACUUCUGUUGUCACUAUUUAUUUAUCCCAAGACUACAACUAAGUUUUCACACCAUCAGCAGUGGCUGAGAUGACCAUUCACUCAGAACUGAGAGUAAUCUGACACUUAUGGGAGAUGGGAAGCAUCCAGCAUGCUGUGGUAGAACCAGAAAUCACAGAGGGACUCUGCCUGCCUCAUAUUGACAGUGGACUGCUGGAUGACCCA